AUUGAACGCUGGCGGCAGGCCUAACACAUGCAAGUCGAGCGAGCGGCGGACGGGUGAGUAAUGUCUGGGUAUCUGCCCGAUAGAGGGGGAUAACUACUGGAAACGGUGGCUAAUACCGCAUACUAUCAGAUGUGCCCAAAUGGGAUUAGCUUGUAGGUGGGGUAACGGCUCACCUAGGCGACGAUCUCUAGCUGGUCUGAGAGGAUGAUCAGCCACAAUGGAACGGAGAAACGGCCCAGACUCCUACGGGAGGCAGCAGUGGGGAAUAUUGCACAAUGGGCGCAAGCCUGAUACAGCCAUGCCGCGUGUAUGAAGAAGGCCUUCGGGUUGUAAAGUACUUUCAGCGGGGAGGCGUUACCCGCAGAAGAAGCACCGGCUAACUCCGUGCCAGCAGCCGCGGUAAUAC
rnacentral:rRNA from 1 species